rnacentral:rRNA from 1 species
GAUGAACGCUGGCGGCGUGCCUAAUACAUGCAAGCCGAGCGAACAGAUGAGGAGCUUGCUCCUCUGACGUUAGCGGCGGACGGGUGAGUAACACGUGGAUAACCUACCUAUAAGACUGGGAUAACUUUGGGAAACCGGAGCUAAUACCGGAUAAUAUAUUGAACCGCAUGGUUCAAUAGUGAAAGACGGUUUUGCUGUCACUUAUAGAUGGAUCCGCGCCGCAUUAGCUAGUUGGUAAGGUAACGGCUUACCAAGGCAACGAUGCGUAGCCGACCUGAGAGGGUGAUCGGCCACACUGGAACUGAGACACGGUCCAGACUCCUACGGGAGGCAGCAGUAGGGAAUCUUCCGCAAUGGGCGAAAGCCUGACGGAGCAACGCCGCGUGAGUGAUGAAGGUCUUCGGAUCGUAAAACUCUGUUAUUGGGGAAGAACAAAUGUGUAAGUAACUAUGCACGUCUUGACGGUACCUAAUCAGAAAGCCACGGCUAACUACGUG